rnacentral:rRNA from 1 species
UACGAAGGGGGCUAGCGUUGCUCGGAUUGACUGGGCGUAAAGGGCGCGUAGGCGGUUCGUACAGUCAGACGUGAAAUUCCUGGGCUCAACCUGGGGGCUGCGUUUGAUACGUGCGGACUUGAGUGCGGAAGAGGGUCGUGGAAUUCCCAGUGUAGAGGUGAAAUUCGUAGAUAUUGGGAAGAACACCGGUGGCGAAGGCGGCGACCUGGUCCGACACUGACGCUGAGGCGCGAAAGCGUGGGUAGCAAACAGG